UAUUGGACAAUGGGCGAAAGCCUGAUCCAGCCAUGCCGCGUGAGUGAAGAAUGCCUUCGGGUUGUAAAGCUCUUUCGGCGGGGACGAAACGGUUCGUGCUAAUACCACGGACUACUGACGGUACCCGCAGAAGAAGCACCGGCUAACUACGUGCCAGCAGCCGCGGUAAUACGUAGGGUGCAGGCGUUAAUCGGAAUUACUGGGCGUAAAGCGUGCGCAGGCGGUUUGUUAAGACAGGUGUGAAAUCCCCGGGCUUAACCUGGGAAUUGCGCUUGUAACUGGCAGACUGGAGUGUGGCAGAGGGGGGUGGAAUUCCAAGUGUAGCAGUGAAAUGCGUAGAUAUUUGGAGGAACACCGAUGGCGAAGGCAGCCCCCUGGGCUAACACUGACGCUCAUGCACGAAA
rnacentral:rRNA from 1 species